rnacentral:rRNA from 1 species
GUUGUUAGUGGCAGACGGGUGAAGUUAAUGCGUAGGAAUCUACCUAGUAGUAUGGAAUAGCCAUUAGAAAUGAUGGGUAAUACUGUAUAAUCCCUGCGGGGGAAAGAUUUAUCGCUAUUAGAUGAGCCUACGUUAGAUUAGCUAGUUGGUAAGGUAAUGGCUUACCAAGGCUAUGAUCUAUAGCUGGUCUGAGAGGACGAUCAGCCACACUGGAACUGAGAUACGGUCCAGACUCCUACGGGAGGCAGCAGUGGGGAAUAUUGGACAAUGGGCGAAAGCCUGAUCCAGCUAUGCCGCGUGAGUGAAGAAGGCCUUCGGGUUGUAAAACUCUUUCAAUAGGGAAGAUAAUGACGGUACCUAUAA